AUUGAACGCUGGCGGCAGGCCUAACACAUGCAAGUCGAACGAGUGGCGGACGGGUGAGUAAUGUCUGGGAAACUGCCCGAUGGAGGGGGAUAACUACUGGAAACGGUAGCUAAUACCGCAUACCAUCGGAUGUGCCCAGAUUGGAUUAGCUAGUAGGUGGGGUAACGGCUCACCUGGGCGACGUUCCCUAGCUGGUCGGGGAGGAUGACCAGCCACCCUGGAAUUGAGACACGGUCCAGCCUCCUAGGGAAGGCAGCAGUGGGGAAUAUUGCACAAGGGGCGCAAGCCUGAUGCAGCCAUGCCGCGUGGAUGAAGAGGGCCUUCGGGUUGGAAGGUACUUUCAGCGAGGAGGCGUUACUCGCAGAGGAAGCACCGGCUAACUCCGUGCCAGCAGCCGCGGUAAUAC
rnacentral:rRNA from 1 species